rnacentral:rRNA from 1 species
AACGUAGGUGGCGAGCGUUAUCCGGAUUCAUUGGGCGUAAAGAGCUUGUAGGUGGCUUUGUAAGUUGGACGUGAAAACUCCGGGCUUAACUUGGAGAGGCCGUUCAAUACUGCGAGGCUUGAGGAUGUCAGAGGGAAGUGGAAUUCCUAGUGUAGCAGUGAAAUGCGUAGAUAUUAGGAGGAACACCCGUGGCGAAAGCGGCUUCCUGGGGCACACCUGACACUGAGAAGCGAAAGCUAGGGGAGCAAACGGG